GACGAACGCUGGCGGCGUGCCUAAUACAUGCAAGUCGAGCGGACUUUCAAGAAGCUUGCUUUUUGAAAGUUAGCGGCGGACGGGUGAGUAACACGUGGGCAACCUGCCUGCAAGACGGGGAUAACUCCGGGAAACCGGGGCUAAUACCGGAUAAUAUCUUCCUUCGCGUGAAGGAAGGUUGAAAGGCGGCGCAAGCUGCCGCUUGCAGAUGGGCCCGCGGCGCAUUAGCUAGUUGGUGAGGUAACGGCUCACCAAGGCGACGAUGCGUAGCCGACCUGAGAGGGUGAUCGGCCACACUGGGACUGAGACACGGCCCAGACUCCUACGGGAGGCAGCAGUAGGGAAUCUUCCGCAAUGGACGAAAGUCUGACGGAGCAACGCCGCGUGAGCGAAGAAGGUCUUCGGAUCGUAAAGCUCUGUUGUCAGGGAAGAACAAGUACCGUUCGAACAGGGCGGUACCUUGACGGUACCUGACCAGAAAGCCACGGCUAACUACGUG
rnacentral:rRNA from 1 species